rnacentral:rRNA from 1 species
GUAGGUGGCGAGCGUUGUCCGGAUUUACUGGGCGUAAAGAGCGCGUAGGCGGCUCGGUAGGUCCCCUGUGAAAUCUCCCGGCUUAACCGGGAGGGGUCAGGGGAAACUGCCGGGCUGGAGGGGAGAAGAGGAGGGUGGAAUUCCCGGUGUAGCGGUGGAAUGCGUAGAUAUCGGGAGGAACACCAGUGGCGAAGGCGGCCCUCUGGGCUCUACCUGACGCUGAGGCGCGAAAGCGUGGGGAGCAAACCGGAUUAGAUACCCGGGUAGUCCACGCCGUAAACGAUGGGCGCUAGGUGUGGGAGGUAUCGACCCCUCCCCGUGCCCGCAGUUAACGCGAUAAGCGCCCCCCCCGCCUGGGGGACUACGGCCGCAAGGCU